AGAUUUUGGGAACAGUUUCCAAUGAGUUAUUUAAAAGUAUUUUCCUGUAUAGUCAUCACUUGAAUGGAAAAAGGCAUUAUUCAUGUUGAAUUAGGACUGAACUCAAACAUUAUUAUUUUUUUGCAGAUAUUUCUGGCUGUGGCAAAACUUAAACUCCUUUCACUAGUUCUUUUGCCAUCCAUUAUGCACAGAGUAAAAUUGUAUAAUUGGUAAAAUAUAAUGAUAAUCUGGAAAUUAGGAUGUCCAGAUUGGGGAAGGUGGAAUAUGGGAAACCUAACUAAGGCUGCUGUGCAAAUCAGGUGACCACCAGAUGAUUGAAAUGCUUGAAAUCUGCAACAUGGUGAUUUCUCCCCACCCAUCCACACAGUAUGAGCUUGGGAUUUUAAUAUUCAAAUAAGGCAGACAGCAGAGGACUGGUCUACUAGUACCCAAUGCAUUUGCAGGUUCUUCUCCAGGUCCUAGGUUUCCCAGACACCAUCUGUUACAUUCUCUUCUGUUCAUUCUUUCUGAUGAUACUUGUAGAGUAGUUUAGGAAAAGGAAGCGUUCAGCCAACAGCUGCAUUCACUUGUAGACAUCUGGAACUUUAUUACAGAGGAUGGUAGAACGUGACCAGGUGGCGCCUGUGAUCGCCAAUAGCUUGUCAAUGCUCUGAUCUCCAGAAACCUGCAUCCCAUAUGUGCCUUCCAAUGCAAGUGCAGCAAUAAGAGAAACCGUGGCUCAUACAGACCAGGUUUUUGGUUUUUUUAAAAAAGCAUCUAGCAUGUUUUAAUCUAUUGGCAUAGCAUAAAGGCAUCACUGCAUGCAAGCCAUGUUGCUAUUAACAGAAAGAAUCCCGCUUCACUUUUAGAACAUUUGAUCUUAGAAGUCCCCUAGAGAUAAAAAGACUUAUUCAGCACAAGUGAUUGAAGGAUGCUUCCCAUUUAAGAAGCAGAAAAUUCUCUGGUUUUCCUGUAGUUUGUCCCAUAUUUAAAACUUUUGCAAAGUGUUGUUGUUUUUUAAAUGCAUGACAUCUGCUUUGGUUGAAAGCAGUAUUCAUGGCCUGGACUUUGCUUUAUCAUUAUUGAUGUAUCGUUUAACAACAUAGUUUGUAUUUUUUAACAACUUGGGGAAAAGUUGGAGCAAAAGGGGCAGACAGUGUUUUGCAAGCUCUGCUCCUCCAUGGGACAAACAGAACGAGGCAGCAGCAAACAUAUAUGUUAGAAUGGAUCGCAGGAGAUCUUCCAUAAAACUGGUUAAUGAGGGAUGCUUUAACAUGGCUGAGCAGAUGGGGUUCAAGUCCUGAACCUUUCUCCCAGAAGCAACUCAUCCUCAGCUGAUUUUCUCCUAGUGGGGCUUCAAGGCCAGAAGUCACCCCUGUGAGGAGAAAAAUAGGAGAAUAUACAAUAGAGCAGGUAAGAAGGAAGUAGUCACACACAACUUGGCAGUGCAGGGGGUGGGCAACUUGCCACCCUAGGACCACUGUGGCUCAAAAACGCUAUGCAAGUGAUCGUCACAGAGCAAGCCAGGCAUUAAACCACACAGUUCAGAGUUGGAGUUAAUUCUUUAUUAGCAAAAACACGAUCUUCACAGCCUUGGCUGAGUGUCAGGCCUAAUGAGCAGAGAAGCUCAUUCCCUGUGGGACUCAGUUGCCAAGACAAAGGUUCCCUGCCUGUCUAUGUAUCCUCCUCUUCAGGGCUUCCCAAAGGCGAUUGGAGACUGCGCCUGAGUGCAGCCAAUCUCUCCUUGGCCAGAAGAGACAUGAAGACAUGGAGAAGGGCAGCUUGUCUCAGCAGGAAGGGGUGGGGGACACUUGUGACUCUUCCCCAGCCUGACAAUCUCUGCAUCUUUACCACCCUCCUCAAACUUGCCAGCUUCAGCUUCUGAUUCAGGACUGCUCUCUGCCACAGACUCCUGUCGUAUUCAACUUUUAUCCUAGGGUUGGGUUCUCCACCAACAAACCUACAUUCAUGGUCUUCGCAAGGUAGUUAAAGAUAGUAGCAAGAAUAGUUAGGCCUGUGGGACAAAGCAGUGAUGCAUGUCCCGACUUCAUUCGUUGUCCUCCAUGAGAUCUUAAUCGCAUAGAGUGGGAGAGGGAGGUCCUGCAUGCUGGGUUGAGAGGACCAUGUUGCACAUGUCUAGAAUUCCCUUGAGAUGUGGAAUUCUGAUUGCACUGAGCUCCACAUCACUGGGAAAGACUCUCUGCACACAGCAAACUCCCUUCUACAGAUGUGGUAUGGCCAACCUGUGGACAGCAGGGGGCAGGGCCAGCGGGACAAAUCCCAUUUAUAAAUGUUUAUGGUUCUGUGAAGGAUAACACACGAAGGGGCACAGAACCCCAGGACAAAUAGGGAGAGGAGCUUGUGGCCCUUCAGAUGUUACAGGACUUCAGCUCCCAUUGACAAUGGUCAGGAGCGAUAUUGGAUACAAUAUACAAAUUUCAUCAUGGGAAAAGUUAUGGAGGGAAGAUUUAAAAUUUACUGCAUGCUGUACGUUGAAGGAGAAUUAUAUGAAAAUGAUGUUUCAUUUGGUACCUAACUCCUACCAAAAUAGCAAAAAUGUAUAGA